rnacentral:rRNA from 1 species
UACAAAGGUAUUGUAAUAAGGUUUUAAUUGAAUGCUAAAAGAAUGGAAUUACAGGGAAAAGUUUUUUUAAAUUUAAUAAUUGAAGCUAUUUUAAUUUGUGAAGAAACAAUUAUAUAAAUUAAAGACAAGAAGACCCUAAGAAUUUAAGAAUUUUUAUUAAUAUAUUAUAUGUAUAUAUAUAUAUAAAUAAAAUUCUUAGUUGGGGCAACUAAAAAAUAUAUUAAACUUUUUUUUAAAAAAAAUGAUCCAUUAUUAAUGAUAAUAUGAAAAAAAUACUCUAGGGAUAACAGCGUAAUAAUUUUUGAUAGAUCUUAUAGACAAAAUAGUUUGCGACCUCGAUGUUGGAUUAGGAUACUUUUUUAAUGAAGAUGUUAAAAAAAGAAGUUUGUUCAACUUUUAAAUUCCUACAU